rnacentral:rRNA from 1 species
AUUGAACGCUGGCGGCAUGCCUUACACAUGCAAGUCGAACGGUAACGGGCCUUCGGGUGCCGACGAGUGGCGAACGGGUGAGUAAUGUAUCGGAACGUACCUUUCAGUGGGGGAUAACGUAGCGAAAGUUACGCUAAUACCGCAUAUUCUGUGAGCAGGAAAGCAGGGGAUCGCAAGACCUUGCGCUGAUUGAGCGGCCGAUAUCAGAUUAGCUAGUUGGUGAGGUAAAGGCUCACCAAGGCGACGAUCUGUAGCGGGUCUGAGAGGAUGAUACGCCAAACUGGAACUGAGACACGGUCCAGACUCCUACGGGAGGCAGCAGUGGGGAAUUUUGGACAAUGGGGGCAACCCUGAUCCAGCCAUGCCGCGUGAGUGAAGAAGGCCUUCGGGUUGUAAAGCUCUUUCGGCCGGGAAGAAAUCGUAUGGGUUAAUACCCUGUGCGGAUGACGGUACCGGCAUAAGAAGCACCGGCUAACUACGUGCCAGCCGCCGCCGUAAUAC